AAUAGUUAAUGUUUUUAGAAAUUUUAUUGGACCAGUUACAGCUGGGAAGUACAGUUUGCAAUUGUUAAGUAUGUUUGUAAGAAUGGAAAUAUUUCCAGAAUAUUGCGGUUAAACAAUCCAGAAUCUAAUAUACUUCCUUAAAACCUCUCCAGUAUAGCUAGCUAACAUUAACACAAUCCCUUCUUUCCAGACAGAGCAUGCGCUGUUUGUCCACUACAGAUGACCGUUCUACCCUAUUGUCCUUUGUCAUGAAUGCAGGAUGUACUGGAUGAAGAAGCCCUAAUC
rnacentral:lncRNA from 15 species